AUUGAACGCUGGCGGCAGGCCUAACACAUGCAAGUCGAACGAGUGGCGGACGGGUGAGUAAUGUCUGGGAAACUGCCUGAUGGAGAGGGAUAACUACUGGAAACGGUAGCUAAUACCGCAUACCAUCAGAUGUGCCCAGAGGGGAUUAGCUAGUCGGUGAGGUAACGGCCCACCUAGGCGACGAUCCCUAGCUGGUCUGAGAGGAUGACCAGCAACACGGGAACUGGGACCGGGUCCAUACUCCUACGGGAGGCAGCAGUGGGGAAUAUUGCACAAUGGUCGCAAGCCUUAUGCAGCCAUGGCGCGUGUAUGAAAGAGGCCUUCGGUUUGUAAAGUACUUUCAGCGGGGAUGCGUUACCCGCAGAAGAAGCACCGGCUAACUCCGUGCCAGCAGCCGCGGUAAUUC
rnacentral:rRNA from 1 species